rnacentral:rRNA from 1 species
GUGGGGAAUCUUGCGCAAUGGGCGAAAGCCUGACGCAGCCAUGCCGCGUGAAUGAUGAAGGUCUUAGGAUUGUAAAAUUCUUUCACCGGGGACGAUAAUGACGGUACCCGGAGAAGAAGCUCCGGCUAACUUCGUGCCAGCAGCCGCGGUAAUACGAAGGGGGCUAGCGUUGCUCGGAAUUACUGGGCGUAAAGGGCGCGUAGGCGGACAGCUUAGUCAGAGGUGAAAGCCCAGGGCUCAACCUUGGAAUUGCCUUUGAUACUGGCUGUCUUGAGUUUGGGAGAGGUGAGUGGAACUCCGAGUGUAGAGGUAAAAUUCGUAGAUAUUCGGAAGAACACCAGUGGCGAAGGCGACUCACUGGCCCAAUACUGACGCUGAGGCGCGAAAGCGUGGGGAGCAAACAGGAUUAGAUACCCUAGUAGUCC